GUCCCGGCCGGGCCCGGCGCCCGGCCCGCGUCCCCGCUCCUGCUCGCCGCCGCGCCUCGGAAGCUGGGCCAAGCGGGCUGGGAAGGGAGAGAUCUCCUUGGGAGCUGACGCUCGAGCCUUCGCGACCCACUCAGAUUCCUCUUGGUCACGGAGUAGCGCUGGGAGGAGGAGGGGGACCGCUUUCUGCAGUUGGCCUCAUUAGCUGCCAAGAAGACCCGUCUUCUUUGUUUUUUAAGUCUCGAGAAAUGGACGAAGACGGUGAAGUCAGUUGAAGUCCGAAGAAAUCCAUCAGGGCGUUUUGAAGGGGCUUCAUAAAAACAUUUCAUUCCCCAGGCACAUUACUUGUUUCACCAGCCCUGCACCUCCUCGGAGCCUGGUGUGGAAUUCUUCCCUUUUUGGUGUGUGGUGGCAUUCCGCCCCCCCAAUGUGGACUCCAAAGGGUUGGUCCCUUCUUUGUAAUUUGAAAUGAAAUGAUGGCCACACGUCGGACUGGUCUACCGGAGGGAGAUGGUGACAAGCUCAAGGCCUGCGGGUCCCCCACCUGCGAGGAACUUCCAGUGAUUCUUCUGCAAGAAGGGUUUCUUCACUUUGAAAUUCCCCAUCUUGCCCAUGCAUCACCUCAGAGUAGGGAAUUCUCCCAUUUCAGGUGACUGGGAAUACUGCAAGUGUCUCUCUUUUCCUUCAGUUCCCAUCCGCCAGUAGUUUUGGAGUUGGGCCGGUUAGGGGAUGCCUUUGUGCAUUUUGUGGGUAUGUAUGCAAGAUUGGCUACCAGAGGUGGAGAGACGGCAGCGGGUAUGCUUGUUGUAACGGGACCUCAGUCUCACUUUGGCUUUGAUGAGUAUUCUGGCUUGCUGUUGAUGUGGAUCUCUGCUCUGGGUAGAAAAACAAGUCUUUUCCCGUGGACAGUUUAAGCACAGCCCUGAAAAACAGAUUUAUAGAGUUGUAAUUCCAACUCCCUGAAAAAUCUCCUGACAUUACUGUUCUUUUAUUUAUGCCCUUCUUUUCACUGCUCAGAAGUUCUGUGAGCUGCCCUGGGGCAUCAGGUGGCUUGCAUUGCCUUUAGACCAUCAUCUUUGGGAAGGCUCAGAUGAUUAUAUGCCAGGCUUCCUGAAAUUUUUUGAGCAGGCAGGACAGAAAUCAGAAAAUCCAUUGAUUUAUGACACCCAUAUGCCCUGUUGCCUCUUAUAUUCUUUCUUCUCUUUAUAUAUGUAUAUAUAUAUAGUCUCUAUAUGUUAUAUUUCAUUCUGUAACGACUGUAUUGUGUUUACUUGGUCAUUGGUUUCUGUAAUUUGCUUGCUAAAUGUACUGAAUAUUGUUACCCUUUAAACUUUACUUUUGAGCCGUCUAUAUUUUUAUUGAAGGAUUGAAUAGAUUAUAGUAACAUCCCCCAAAAGAGGCUUUACUCUCACUAUUUCUUUUGUACCUUGUAAGUGUUAAAUUUUAACUUCACGGCCAUUGAAACAAGGUCUAGUUCUUGAGUGUGUGAGUUUUGGCAUUUUAAUAAAAAUGAGUCAAGUUAAAUUUUUGUUUUUAAAGCAUGCAGAGAAACUUGCUUCAUGUAGCUCACUUCAUACAGCUCACUUCAUACAGGAUUAGAAAGUUUAUGCAGAAAAUACAGGGAGGUGGGUACUGUACAACUCCUUAGAACUAGAAGUUUACAGUUAGAAUCAGUGUUUUACUUUUUGACACCUGUAAACACCUGCUUGCAGGUGAAAACGUGAUUAAGUAUAACACCACAGUCCUCUGAUCAUGGUAAACCAUAAUAACUCCUUUUGG